UACGGAAGCAACAAUAAGGAAACUUGGACCAUGGAAGAAACUCUGAUGCCACGAUGCCCCGUGGAUGAAAAAGGCCUUUGGGUUGUAAAGCUCUUUCCUCCGGGAAAAAAAUGACUGGAUCCCAAUAAAAAAGUCCGGCUAACUUCCUGGCAACAACCCCGGUAAUAC
rnacentral:rRNA from 1 species